CCCUUAGAUGUUCUGGGCUGCACGCGCGCUACACUGAAGCGUUCAACGAGUAUUCACCUUGCCCGGGAGGGUUGGGUAAUCUUUUGAAAACGCUUCGUGAUGGGGAUAGAUUAUUGCAAUUAUUAAUCUUCAACGAGGAAUUCCUAGUAAGCGCGAGUCAUCAGCUCGUGCCGAUUACGUCCCUGCCCUUUGUACACACCGCCCGUCGCUACUACCGAUUGAAUGGCUCAGUGAGGCCUUCGGACUGGCCCAGGGAGGUUGGCAACGACCACCCAGGGCCGGAAAGUUGGUCAAACUUGGUCAUUUAGAGGAAGUAAAAGUCGUAACA
rnacentral:rRNA from 1 species